UGAAACAGUUAACUGUAGAGUUU
rnacentral:siRNA from 1 species